rnacentral:misc_RNA from 1 species
AAGUCGUAACAAGGUCUCCGUAGGUGAACCUGCGGAGGGAUCAUUACUGAGAUAGGGUUCUCACGAGCCCGACCUCCAACCCUUUGUUCACAAACCACUGUUGCCUCGGCGGGCCGCCGGCGCCCUCUACUGGGCGCCGCCGUCGGCCUCGUGCUCUCGAGUGCCCGCCGCAGGACCAACCAAAACUCUUUAUCAACAAGCAUGUCUGAGUAGAUAUUUAAUGCUUCAAAAAAA